rnacentral:sRNA from 1 species
AGAGUACCGAAAGCGAAGCUGCCGCAACAAUCGCGGGUUUAUUGUUUUCCUUUGGGACGAAUGUCGCCCCACUUAAAGGGGGUGAUCUCGUUGGUGACU